rnacentral:rRNA from 1 species
GUCUGUGGCCAUGCCGCCCUGAACAUGCCCAAUCCCAUCUGAUCUCAGAAGCUAAGCAGGGUUGGGCUUGGUUAGUACUUGGACGGGAGACCAACUAAGAAGACCAGGUGCUGUAGGCA